AUUGAACGCUGGCGGCAUGCCUUACACAUGCAAGUCGAACGGCAACGGGCCUUCGGGUGCCGACGAGUGGCGCACGGGUGAGUAAUACAUCGGAACGUGCCCGAACGUGGGGGAUAACGAGGCGAAAGCUUUGCUAAUACCGCAUACGAUCUACGGAUGAAAGCCGGGGACCGCAAGGCCUUGCGCGGACGGAGCGGCCGAUGGCAGAUUAGGUAGUUGGUGGGAUAAAAGCUUACCAAGCCGACGAUCUGUAGCUGGUCUGAGAGGAUGAUCAGCCACACUGGGACUGAGACACGGCCCAGACUCCUACGGGAGGCAGCAGUGGGGAAUUUUGGACAAUGGGCGCAAGCCUGAUCCAGCCAUGCCGCGUGCAGGAUGAAGGCCUUCGGGUUGUAAACUGCUUUUGUACGGAACGAAAAGCCUUCUUUUAAUACAGGAGGGUCAUGACGGUACCGUAAGAAUAAGCACCGGCUAACUACGUG
rnacentral:rRNA from 1 species